rnacentral:rRNA from 1 species
UACGUAGGGACCGAGCGUUGUCCGGAAUCAUUGGGCGUAAAGAGCGUGUAGGCGGCCAACUAAGUCCUGCGUGAAAUCUCGGGGCUCAACCCCGAGCGGUCGUGGGAAACUGGUUGGCUAGAGUGCGGGAGAGGAGAGUGGAAUUCCUAGUGUAGCGGUGAAAUGCGUAGAGAUUAGGAAGAACACCAGUGGCGAAGGCGACUUACUGGACUGUAACUGACGCUGAGGCAUGAAAGCGUGGGGAGCAAACAGG